GGGUUGUGAGGUUAAGCGACUAAGCGUACACGGUGGAUGCCCUGGCAGUCAGAGGCGAUGAAGGACGUGCUAAUCUGCGAUAAGCGUCGGURAGGUGAUAUGAACCGUUAUAACCGGCGAUUUCCGAAUGGGGAAACCCAGUGUGUUUCGRCACACUAUCAUUAACUGAAUCCAUAGGUUAAUGAGGCGAACCGGGGGAACUGAAACAUCUAAGUACCCCGAGGAAAAGAAAUCAACCGAGAUUCCCCCAGUAGCGGCGAGCGAA
rnacentral:rRNA from 1 species